GACGAACCGUGCGAACGUUGUUCGGAAUCACUGGGCUUAAAGGGCGCGUAGGCGGGCGGGCAAGUCAGGGGUGAAAUCCCACGGCUCAACCGUGGAAGGGCCCUUGAUACUGCCCAUCUCGAGGGAGGUAGGGGCGUGCGGAACUUCCGGUGGAGCGGUGAAAUGCGUAGAUAUCGGAAGGAACACCGGUGGCGAAAGCGGCGCGCUGGACCUCUUCUGACGCUGAGGCGCGAAAGCCAGGGGAGCAAACGGG
rnacentral:rRNA from 1 species